rnacentral:lncRNA from 1 species
CCUAUUCUACAACAUUCCCAAACAAACACAAACAAGCAUACAAGCUCGUAGGGGCUUCAAACCAUCAAAAACCCCAACUACAACACAUCAAACAACUCACAUUAUUCAUAAACACAUAUAAAACCCAUAAACCUAACCAUGAGCUAAACAUGCAUUCUACCCCAUAGAUCUACUUAAAACUUACUUAAAACAUGCCAUAAGCUCAAGAUCGGCCCUUACCUCUUGAAGAUCGAGAGGAGAACGACCCUAGCUCAAAAAAUGGGAGAGAGAGAGUUCCUUGAACCUCCAAGCUCCAAAACUUGCUCAAAUGCUCAAAAUCUUCAAAACAAGGGUAAAACUAAUGAAAAUCGAGAAAGAUUUGAAGGAAAGAACUCAAAACCAGCGAGGGAUGGCGGAG